rnacentral:misc_RNA from 1 species
GAUGAAGAACGUAGCAAAAUGCGAUAAGUAAUGCGAAUUGCAGAAUCCGUGAGUCAUCGAAUCUUUGAACGCACAUUGCGCCCUCUGGUAUUCCGGAGGGCAUGCCUGUUCGAGCGUCAUUAUCACCCCUCAAGCCCGGCUUGUUGUUGGAUGCAGCGCUUAUCCCGCUCCUCCCAAAGAUAAUGACGGCGUCUGCGACGACUCCUGUACACUGAGCUUUCGGGCACGUACACGGCUAGAAGUCCAGACCCGGUCGCCGUCCCCCCCGCGGGGACACCCAUUACCACAAGGUUGACCUCGGAUCAGGUAGGAAUACCCGCUGAACUUAAGCAUAUCAAUAAGCGGAGGA